GCAACACAGAAGUGUUUCGGUGUCACACUCGAGGAAAUGAAAGUGACAGAACUUCACCGCUGAAGAAGAACAACGUCUGUUUGUAUCUGAAAAAAGAUCGUUUCAUCAACUCCUUUACCUGUCUGACGUCACGAAGUCGCAUCCGCACAGAAAUGUCUGCCGCCAGCUGCAUGCUAUCUGAAGAGCAGUUUCUGUGCUCCAUCUGUCUGGAUGUGUUCACUGAUCCAGUCUCCAUACCAUGUGGACACAACUUCUGCAAGAGCUGCAUCACUCAUCACUGGGAUGUUAAUGAUCAGUGUGAGUGUCCCAUGUGUAAAGAUGUGUUUGAAAAACGUCCUCAGCUUCGAGUCAACACGUUCAUAUCAGAGAUGGCUGCUCAGUUCAGACAGUCGACUGUAAAGAGAAGCAGCAGAAUGUCUCUGAAGGAAAACACCAACUCUGGAGAAGUUCUGUGUGACGUCUGCACUGAAUCCAAAGUGAAGGCUCUGAAGUCCUGCCUAAUGUGUCUGACCUCCUACUGUGAGACUCACCUGGAACCUCAUCACAGAAUCCCAGGCCUGAAGAGACACGAGCUGGUCGAUCCUGUGGAGAACCUGGAGGACAGAAUCUGUAAGAGUCACGGCAGACCUCUGGAGAUGUUCUGCAAGACGGAUCAGAGGUGUGUUUGUCAGUUCUGCACUGAGUCAGAACACAAGCAACAUGUCUUUGUUCCCAUGAUGGAAGAGAACAAGAUAAAGAGGGACAAAUUGGUGAAGUUAGACGCCGAAAUUCAGCAGAAGAUUCUGGAGAGACGACUGACAAUCGAGAAGAUCAGGCAGUCGGUGAAGCUUAGUCGAAGCCUCAGAAGGUGGGCGUGUUUGUGGAUUACGAGGAGGGUGUGGUCUCUUUCUAUGAUGUAGAUGCAGCAGCUCUCAUCUACUCCUUCACCGGCUGUAACUUCACUGAGAAACUCUUCCCUAUCUUUGGUCCCUGUAAUAAUGACUCAGGGAACAACUCUGCCCCUCUGAUCAUCA